AGAGCGAACGCUGGCGGCAGGCUUAACACAUGCAAGUCGAGCGGGCGUAGCAAUACGUCAGCGGCAGACGGGUGAGUAACGCGUGGGAACGUACCUUUUGGUUCGGAACAACCCAGGGAAACUUGGGCUAAUACCGGAUAAGCCCUUACGGGGAAAGAUUUAUCGCCGAAAGAUCGGCCCGCGUCUGAUUAGCUAGUUGGUGAGGUAAUGGCUCACCAAGGCGACGAUCAGUAGCUGGUCUGAGAGGAUGAUCAGCCACAUUGGGACUGAGACACGGCCCAAACUCCUACGGGAGGCAGCAGUGGGGAAUAUUGGACAAUGGGCGCAAGCCUGAUCCAGCCAUGCCGCGUGAGUGAUGAAGGCCCUAGGGUUGUAAAGCCCUUUCGGCGGGGAAGAUAAUGACGGUACCCGCAGAAGAAGCCCCGGCUAACUUCGUGCCAGCAGCCGC
rnacentral:rRNA from 1 species